UACGUAGGGGGCAAGCGUUGUUCGGAAUUACUGGGCGUAAAGGGCGCGUAGGCGGCCUGCUAAGUCGAACGUGAAAUCCCUGGGCUCAACCCAGGAACUGCGUCCGAUACUGGUUGGCUUGAAUCCGGGAGAGGGAUGUGGAAUUCCAGGUGUAGCGGUGAAAUGCGUAGAUAUCAGGAGGAACACCAAUGGCGAAGGCAGCUCGCUGGGACGUGACUGACGCUGAGACGCGAAAGCGUGGGGAGCAAACAGG
rnacentral:rRNA from 1 species